rnacentral:rRNA from 1 species
CGCAGCCUACACAUGCAGUUCGAGCGGCUAGAGAGAAGCUUGCUUCUCUUGAGAGCGGCGGACGGCCCNUUUAANGNCUAGGAAUCUGCCUGGUAGUGGGGGAUAACGNNCUUNAAACGGACGCUAAUACCGCAUACGUCCUACGGGAGAAAGCAGGGGACCUUCGGGCCUUGCGCUAUCAGAUGAGCCUAGGUCGGAUUAGCUAGUUGGUGGGGUAAUGGCUCACCAAGGCGACGAUCCGUAACUGGUCUGAGAGGAUGAUCAGUCACACUGGAACUGAGACACGGUCCAGACUCCUACGGGAGGCAGCAGUGGGGAAUAUUGNACAAUGGGCCAAAGCCUGAUCCAGCCAUGCCGCGUGNGUGAAGAAGGUCUUCGGAUUGUAAAGCACUUUAAGUUGGGAGGAAGGGUUGUAGAUUAAUACCUCUGCAAAUUUUUGACGGUUACCGGACAGAAAUAAAUCACCCGGCCUAACCUCUGUUGCCCAGUCAGCCUGCCGGUAAAUAACAUGAAGGGGUGGCAAGGCGUUUAAAUCGGGAAAUUUACCUGGGGNCAAAAAAAAGCCCCGCCGUNAAGGUGGCUUUUGUUNNAAGUUUGGGAAAGGUGGAAAAUUCCCCCCUGGGCCUCCUAANACCNGGGGAUAANAUUGGCAAUNCNCAAANCUGGACNUGAAAUAUAAGAAAUAUGGUNUAAAUGGGAAGGUCGGAAAUUUUUCCCUUGUGUAUUACCCGGUUCCAAAUUGCCCCU